rnacentral:lncRNA from 1 species
GGGAAUUACUUGGUGGGGGUUUUAUGCCCGUUAUGAUUCCGUGUUCCAUGUUUUAUUACGAAUCUGUGUGCUUUUCUCUGUUUUAUAUUACUUAUGGGUGCCGUAUUUAUGUUAUGUAAUCUUGUGCUGUGCUUGACUAUGUGUUUGUGUGGUAUCUCGUGCCUUGAGCCGGGGGUCUAUCGGAAACAGCCUUUCAACUUCUUUAGAGGUAAAGGUAUGGACUGCGUACAUCUUACCCCCCCAUACCCCACUAGGUGGGAAUAUACUGGGUUUGUUGUUGUUUUGUGAAUUAUUCAUUUGUGUGAUUUGACCAUUUUACCCCCCUUCGUGAUUGCUUUGUGGUAUUUCUGGGGUGUGGAGAUGAUUGGCAUGAUUCCUAAUGCAUUUUGCUAUAAUUUGUGCAAGUUGGUGGUUUUUGGAGGUUAAAAGGGAUUUAUAGUUGACCUCGGUCAACAUUUGUUGUUGUGCGUUGUAAGGCAAAACGGACUAGGACGGUAGAUCCGAAACAUCGAUUUUAGGUUUAUAACAUGGUUGGUGUGGUUUUACAAAUUUUGUAUCUCAUUUGGACCCUCAGUAAAGUUAUGAAAUUAAGUUGCAAGGGUCAAUUUUGUGAAAACGAUAUUUUUUUCGAAAACCCGAUAUCAUCAUUGAGUCCGGAACGUCGAAUUUAGUUUAGUAGCAUAUCUCAUUUGUAUUCUAGGGAUUCCGAACGAAUCCCGGGGGCCCCACAUAAACUUGGAAAAGUUCCAAGUUUGCUGGUAUAUCACCAACUGAGGCAGUCGCUUAAACGGCCAGGAGGCCGCGUAAGCAGCCAUGUUUGAUCUACCCUAUGUCGCUUAAGCGACCAUGCUGACAGUAGCCAAUGCCGCUUAAGCGACUAUCUGGUCGCUUAAGAGAGCAAUGAUCGCUUAAGCCAGCCCAUCAUUUUUGAGACUUAGAGCUUCAGAUUUUAGAAUUUUUGGGUGAUUUCUUCCAUUUUCAAGUUUGGCUAAGCUCUAAAUCCCUAUUUCAAUUAUUUUUCUUCGAUUCUUGUCAUUUAAAGUUUGUUAAAACUCGAUUUCAAAAGCAGAAUAUGAGAAUGUUGGCCCAGAAGGCCUAAAUUAUUAUUUCUUCAAUUUAAACACCAAUUUCAACCCGUUUUCACUUGGAUUUUCUCCAAUGGCUUCCUUUAACCAUGGGUAACGCAUUUAUGAACUAAAAUUUCAAUUUUACCCUUCUUUCUCAAAAACUCAUUUCGUGGUUCCAUUUUUACCACAACUCAAAAAUAGGCAAUAUAGGUAUUGUCGACUUGCUUUUAACGCAUAGAUUCUAUAUUUGUAUGUUUUGGUUGAUUUCGAGUCCGUUCCUAAGGGGAAGGCUCCGUGUUGAAGGCGUUUGGACCGGAUUUUCUUCAUUCAAGGUAGGUUAUGGCUUAAUUUUCUUCAAACUGGGUUGGGAACUUAAUACUGAUAUGAAAACGUGUUACGGAUAUGGGAACUAAUCAUGAAAAUGGCUUUAUUAUUGUUUUGUUCCGGUGUAGGGGCCUAUGUUGUAAUUUGGUGCUUUGAGACAUUAUUUGUUGUGUGACCGUGUAGGGUCUUAUAUGAUGUUGGCCUGGUAUUUAUGGUAAUUGGUUGUACUCUUUUUGGUGGAUAUUACCUAAGUUUGGAUCUAUGUGGUAUAAAUGUCAUAUUAUUGCAUAUGGAGCACCAUGAUACCUCUCUAUAAGAAUAAGGGGGACAUCCAGAGUUGCAACAACUAUAGGGGGAUUAAGUUAUUGAGUCACUCUAUGAAGAUCUGGGAGAGAGUGGUCGAGGUGAGGCUGAGACGGAUAGUGUCUAUUUCAGAAAACCAGUUUGGAUUUAUGCCUGGCCGCUCGACGACGGAGGCAAUUCACCUGGUACGGAGGUUGGUGGAACAGUAUAGGGAGAGGAAGAAGGACCUGCACAUGGUAUUUAUCGACCUGGAGAAGGCCUAUGACAAAGUCCCCAGGGAGGUGCUUUGGAGAUGCUUGGAAGUGAGUGGAGUACGGCUGGCAUAUAUCAGAGCAAUCAAGGAUAUGUAUGAUGGAGCGAAAACUAAGGUGAGGACGGCGGGAGGAGACUCAGAACAUUUCACGGUCCGGACAGGGUUGCAUCAGGGAUCUACUCUUAGUCCCUUUUUGUUUGCAGUGGUGAUGGAUGUGUUGACGCGGCGUAUUCAAGGGGAGGUGCCGUGGUGUAUGCUUUUUGCAGACGAUGUAGUUUUGAUAGAUGAGACUUAAGGGGGUGUGAGUGACAAAUUAGAGGUGUGGAGGCAAACCUUUGAGUCUAAAGGGUUCAGGGUGAGCAGAAGCAAAACAGAGUAUGUCGAAUGCAAGUUUAAUGACGUGAGGCGGGAGAAUGAGGUAGUAGUGAAGCUGGAAUCACAGGAGGUAGGUAAGAGGGAGAGUUUCAAGUAUCUCGGGUCCGUGAUCCAGAGUAACGGUGAGAUUGACGAGGAUGUCUCGCACCGUAUUGGGGCGGGAUGGAUGAAGUGGAAGCUCGCGUCGGGGGUGCUGUGUGAUAAGAAGGUGCCGCCUAAGCUUAAAGGCAAAUUCUACAGGGCGGUAGUCCGUCCGGCCAUGUUGUAUGGAGCGGAGUGUUGGCCAGUGAAGAACUCCCACAUCCAAAAGAUGAGGGUGGCAGAAAUGCGGAUGUUGCGCUGGAUGUGUGGGCUGACUAGAGGGGAUAGAGUUCGGAAUGAGAACAUCCGGGAGAAGGUUGGUGUGACACCAGUGGAGUGCAAGAUGCGGGAAGCCCGAUUGAGAUGGUUCGGACACGUGAAGAGGAGGGGCAUGGAUGCCCCGGUCCGUAGGUGUGAGAGGCUAGCGUUGGAUGGGUUUAAGCGGGGUAGGGGUAGGCCGAAGAAGUACUGGGGUGAGGUGAUUAGGCGAGACAUGGAGCAGUUACAGCUCACCGGGGGUUUAUUCCUGUUAGGAGUCCAUGUCCCAUGUUUUAUUAUGAAGCUGUGUGCUUUCCUCUGUUUUAUAUUACUUAUGAGUGCCGUAUUUAUGUUAUGUAAUCUUGUAACCUUGUGGUGUGCUUUACUAUGUGUUUGUGUGGUACCGCGUGUCUCGAGCCGGGGGUCUAUCGGAAACAGCUUUUCUACUUCUUCAGAGGUAGAGGUAUGGACUGCGUACAUCCUACCCCCCCAGACCCCACCAGGUGGGAAUACACUGGGUUUGUUGUUGUUGUUGUUGUUGUUACUCUAUUGGUAUAUGGAUUAUAUUGGAUCAUGGAUGGUUGGCU